rnacentral:rRNA from 1 species
ACCUGCCCUAUGAUUAAUUAAAUGGCCGCGGUAUUUUAACCGUGCAAAGGUAGCAUAAUCAUUAGUUUUUUAAUUGAGAACUAGAAUGAAAGGUUGGACGAAAAGGGGGCUGUCUCAAUUUAAUUUAAUUAGAAUUUUAUUUUUAAGUUAAAAAGCUUAAAUAAUUUUAAAAGACGAGAAGACCCUAUAGAGUUUUAUAUUAUUUUAUAUAAAUUUAAUUUUUAGUAAUUAAUUUUUAUUUUUAUAAAAUAUUAUUUAAUUGGGGUGAUUGAAAAAUUUAAUAAACUUUUUUUAUAUUUUUACAUUAAUUAAUGAUUAAGUGAUCCAUAUUUUAUGAUUAAAAGAUUA